rnacentral:rRNA from 1 species
GGGUAGAGCACUGUAUAACCUAGGGGGCAUAUAGCUUACUGAAGUUAAGCAAACUGCGAAUACCAUAUAUUAAUACUUAGGAGUGAGUCUAUGGAUGACAAGGUCCAUGGACGAGAGGGAAAGAACCCAGAACAUCAGCUAAGGUCCCCAAUUAUGUCUAAGUGGGAAAGGAGGUGGAUAUUCACAAACAACCAGGAGGUUGGCUUAGAAGCAGCCAUACCUUUAAAGAGUGCGUAAUAGCUCACUGGUCGAGAGUAUCUGCGCCGAAGAUUUAACGGGGCUAAGACAUAAACCGAAGCUAUGUAACAACUUUAUAGUUGUUGGUAGGAGAGCGUUCUGUAGGCUGUAGAAGGAGAGCUGUAAGGCGAUCUGGAGGUAUCAGAAGUGAGCAUGCAGUAAUGAGUAGCGAGAAAGAGUGUGAGAAUCCCUCUGGCCGGAAGUCCAAGGUUUCCAGGGCCAUGUUUGUCAACCCUGGGUGAGUCGGGACCUAAGCGAAGACCAGAAAGUUGUGG